UCAAGUGAAGAAGCGCAUACGGUGGAUGCCUUGGCAGUCAGAGGCGAUGAAAGACGUGGUAGCCUGCGAAAAGCUUCGGGGAGUCGGCAAACAGACUGUGAUCCGGAGAUGUCUGAAUGGGGGAACCCAGCCAUCAUAAGAUGGUUAUCUUACACUGAAUACAUAGGUGUAAGAGGCGAACCAGGGGAACUGAAACAUCUAAGUACCCUGAGGAAAAGAAAUCAACCGAGAUUCCCUUAGUAGUGGCGAGCGAACGGGGACCAGCCCUUAAGUUGUAUUGAGAUUAGCGGAACGCUCUGGAAAGUGCGGCCAUAGUGGGUGAUAGCCCUGUACGCGAAAAUCCCUUUGCAAUGAAAUCGAGUAGGACGGGGCACGAGAAACCUUGUCUGAAUAUGGGGGGACCAUCCUCCAAGGCUAAAUACUACUGACUGACCGAUAGUGAACCAGUACCGUGAGGGAAAGGCGAAAAGAACCGCGGAGAGCGGAGUGAAAUAGAUCCUGAAACCGUAUGCGUACAAGCAGUGGGAGCCCACUUUGUUGGGUGACUGCGUACCUUUUGUAUAAUGGGUCAGCGACUUAUUUUCAGUGGCGAGCUUAACCGAAUAGGGGAGGCGUAGCGAAAGCGAGUCUUAAUAGGGCGUCUAGUCGCUGGGAAUAGACCCGAAACCGGGCGAUCUAUCCAUGGGCAGGUUGAAGGUUGGGUAACACUAACUGGAGGACCGAACCGACUACCGUUGAAAAGUUAGCGGAUGACCUGUGGAUCGGAGUGAAAGGCUAAUCAAGCUCGGAGAUAGCUGGUUCUCCUCGAAAGCUAUUUAGGUAGCGCCUCAUGUAUCACUGUAGGGGGUAGAGCACUGUUUCGGCUAGGGGGUCAUCCCGACUUACCAAACCGAUGCAAACUCCGAAUACCUACAAGUGCCGAGCAUGGGAGACACACGGCGGGUGCUAACGUCCGUCGUGAAAAGGGAAACAACCCAGACCGUCAGCUAAGGUCCCAAAGUCAUGGUUAAGUGGGAAACGAUGUGGGAAGGCUUAGACAGCUAGGAGGUUGGCUUAGAAGCAGCCACCCUUUAAAGAAAGCGUAAUAGCUCACUAGUCGAGUCGGCCUGCGCGGAAGAUGUAACGGGGCUCAAACCAUGCACCGAAGCUACGGGUAUCACCUUUGGUGAUGCGGUAGAGGAGCGUUCUGUAAGCCUGUGAAGGUGAGUUGAGAAGCUUGCUGGAGGUAUCAGAAGUGCGAAUGCUGACAUGAGUAACGACAAUGGGUGUGAAAAACACCCACGCCGAAAGACCAAGGUUUCCUGCGCAACGUUAAUCGACGCAGGGUUAGUCGGUCCCUAAGGCGAGGCUGAAAAGCGUAGUCGAUGGAAAACAGGUUAAUAUUCCUGUACUUCUGGUUAUUGCGAUGGAGGGACGGAGAAGGCUAGGCCAGCCUGGCGUUGGUAGUCCAGGUUUAAGGUGGUAGGCUGAGAUCUUAGGUAAAUCCGGGAUCUUAAGGCCGAGAGCUGAUGACGAGUGUUCUUUUAGAACAUGAAGUGGUUGAUGCCAUGCUUCCAAGAAAAGCUUCUAAGCUUCAGGUAACCAGGAACCGUACCCCAAACCGACACAGGUGGUUGGGUAGAGAAUACCAAGGCGCUUGAGAGAACUCGGGUGAAGGAACUAGGCAAAAUGGCACCGUAACUUCGGGAGAAGGUGCGCCGGUGAGGGUGAAGCAUUUACUGCGUAAGCCCACGCCGGUCGAAGAUACCAGGCCGCUGCGACUGUUUAUUAAAAACACAGCACUCUGCAAACACGAAAGUGGACGUAUAGGGUGUGACGCCUGCCCGGUGCCGGAAGGUUAAUUGAUGGGGUUAGCGCAAGCGAAGCUCUUGAUCGAAGCCCCGGUAAACGGCGGCCGUAACUAUAACGGUCCUAAGGUAGCGAAAUUCCUUGUCGGGUAAGUUCCGACCUGCACGAAUGGCGUAACGAUGGCGGCGCUGUCUCCACCCGAGACUCAGUGAAAUUGAAAUCGCUGUGAAGAUGCAGUGUAUCCGCGGCUAGACGGAAAGACCCCGUGAACCUUUACUAUAGCUUUGCACUGGACUUUGAAUUUGCUUGUGUAGGAUAGGUGGGAGGCUUUGAAGCGUGGACGCCAGUCUGCGUGGAGCCAACCUUGAAAUACCACCCUGGCAACUUUGAGGUUCUAACUCAGGUCCGUUAUCCGGAUCGAGGACAGUGUAUGGUGGGUAGUUUGACUGGGGCGGUCUCCUCCUAAAGAGUAACGGAGGAGUACGAAGGUGCGCUCAGACCGGUCGGAAAUCGGUCGUAGAGUAUAAAGGCAAAAGCGCGCUUGAC
rnacentral:rRNA from 1 species